rnacentral:rRNA from 1 species
GAUGACUGUAGGUGAAAGCUUACAUCUCUUCGGAGCAUUUUACGUAGGUGCCGCAUGGUUGUCGUCAGCUCGUGCCGUGAGGUGUCGGGUUAAGUCCCAUAACGAGCGCAACCCCUACCUUUAGUUGCCAUCAGGUAAUGCUGGGGACUCUAAAGGAACUGCCUACGCAAGUAGUGAGGAAGCGGGGAUGACGUCAAAUCAGCACGGCCCUUACGUCCAGGGCUACACACGUGCUACAAUGGCCGAUACAGAGGGCGGCUACCUGGUGACAGGAUGCAAAUCUCCAAAGUCGGUCUCAGUUCGGAUCGGAGUCUGCAACCCGACUCCGUGAAGUUGGAUUCGCUGGUAAUCGCGCAUCAGCCAUGGCGCGGUGAAUACGUUCCCGGGCCUU